GCUGCAAGAGAAGACGAGAGAUUCUGUCUAUGGAAGGCCUCAUUUCUAAUUUCUUUCAAACUCUACAGCAGAUAAUCAGCGUAAGCCAUGCAGACAUGACUACCUUGGCCACUUCACAGAGGCCCUUACUUUGAAGAAAGGGGCAGAGAUCCAGCAUGUGGAAUAUAUUGUUGGGUGGCAAAGAAUGUAAGAGAGUGUGGUGCAACAGGAAAGCAAGCCUUGCCCCCUUGCUUCCCUGUGUGAAAACAGCACAAAAGUUUGAACACAGACAGACAGAACUGGGCUGAAGUGUUAGCUAUGUGACUUAAGGAGAGAUGAAGUAUUCAAAGUCUAUUUUCUCGUAAUAGGGAUGUUGGAAUUAAAUAGACUAAAGUUUAGUACAUAGUAUUAUUUUUGUUUUCUUGACAGGUCCCAGGAAACUCCUAGGCCAAAACACUUCUCAGUCAGCCCUGGGAGGGUUGUCCCUAGCAGAAGGCAACCUUCCGUAAGUGGCUGGAGAGACUCCCGCAAAGAGGAACAGCAGCCACGCACUGACACCGCACUCCCACGUGUUCCUCCAACAACAGAUGCCCACAUGCCUUAGCUCUUUCCCACCCCUUCAAAGGUAGCAGCCGUAAUACAAAUGCCAAGGGCCCUACAAGGGGCACAAGAGGUUGUCUACCAAGAGGAGAAAGAAUAGUGAAGACCCUGACUGACAGCCACAGGACUUAUCUAGUUACAGAUCAUAGGUAUGUGCCCGAGACUGUGGGAUUUUCACAAAACCAUUUAUUGGAUUAUGAACAUAAACUAAUGCCCCGUGACUGAGACAAGUGAGGAAAAGGAGCCUACGUGAGUGUGACUAUGAUGGUCUACAUGUGUGCAUUUCUCAUACUGUCCUUACCACCAAAAUCUUCCUCAGGCCUCCUACAUUUCCACUCUCUUCUGAAGUACUCCCUCUCUAGACCCCAUUUCUCAUAUCCAGAAGGGUAGUAGUUUCCUAUCAUUUUAUUAUUUCUUUGAAUUCAGUCUCCAACAGUUGAGAAGACACUGCGACUCUGUGCAUGUGUGUGUGUGUGUGUAACUCUAGUGGUAUAUAUAUGUUGAAAUAACAUCUGACUCCAGACCUUGGGAAAAGAACACUGGGCCACUUGUCCUGGGCAACACAGGAGAAGGCAGAGGUCCCAUGUGGUAGGUCUUUAGCUGCUGCUUUCUGUGGUUUCUUCCUCCAAAAUAAGAAGAUACCAGUUGUACCUAACCAAGUGGUGUUUCUAGACUUUUCUGGACUCAAGAAGCUUCUGAUGUAUUACAAACUUCAUAAGAACCAGGAGCAGAGAGUAGGUAGGGAGAAGAUCAAAAUUUCCCUUUUAAGCCUUGAAAGCCUAUACACCAGGGAGGGUGUGAUUUGGCCUAAGGUCAGGGGAUGAGAAAGCUCUUGUUGGAACAGGUCUCCCAGCUUUCCACUCACUCACCAUUAUGCUCAGCAGGUUGAACAGUCAAGAAAAACUGACCUCCCCAUGCUUCCCCCAACUUACUCACUUGUUAUUAGACUAUUGAAAAGUAGCCAUAGAACCAGAUAAAUAUUUUGACUACAAGAGAACAGUCCCACAGGCUGUGUGGGAAAAGGGAACAAUGUUGAGAUACUGGUGAAUGCUCUCUGAGGACAGAUUCCUAGAAGUUAGGGGUGGGCUAGGAUAAAAACACCAGCAAAAUCAACCAUAUAACGCAAGUUUUAAAAAGGUUAGUGAUUUGAAAAAAGACCUUUAUAAAACGUAGGCUAGGAACUAUUACUAAAGAGGAAGUGCUCUUGUUAAUACAUUAAGCUUCCUUAGGGAAGAGGAAACUAGGACAGAUGGGGCAAUCAUCAUCACACUAAAUAACUCAUUCUUGUCUCAAACUCUGCUAAUUAUGUUUCUUGUCCUAUUUACAAAAGUAGGGGGGAGAAUAAGCAGUGGUACAGGAAAUAUUCUUAGCAACCUUCUCUAGAUAGGAGGUGAUAUGGUUUGGAUGUAUGACCCCUCCAAACCUCAUGCUGAAAUGUGGACUACAAUGUUGGAGGUGGGGCCUAGUGGGAGGCACUUGGGUCAUGGGGUGGAUCCCUUAUGAGUGGCUUGGUGCCCUCCCCACAGUAAUGAGCUCAUACAAGCACUGGUUGUUUAAAAGAGCCUGGCAUCUCUCUAGCUCCCACUUCCGCCUUGUGAUACACCUUCUCCCCCCUUGAUUGGAAGCUUCCUGAGGCCUCAACAGCAGAUGCUGGCGCCAUGCUUUCUCUACAGUCUGCAGAACUGUCAGCCAAAUAAACCCCUUUUCUUUAUAAAUUA